GGGUUGUGAGGUUAAGCGACUAAGCGUACACGGUGGAUGCCCUGGCAGUCAGAGGCGAUGAAGGGCGUGCUAAUCUGCGAUAAGCGCCGGUAAGGUGAUAUGAACCGUUAUAACCGGCGAUACCCGAAUGGGGAAACCCAGUGUGACUCGUCACACUAUCAUUAACUGAAUCCAUAGGUUAAUGAGGCGAACCGGGGGAACUGAAACAUCUAAGUACCCCGAGGAAAAGAAAUCAACCGAGAUUCCCCCAGUAGCGGCGAGCGAACGGGGAGGAGCCCAGAGCCUGAAUCAGCAUGUGUGUUAGUGGAAGCGUCUGGAAAGGCGCGCGAUACAGGGUGACAGCCCCGUACACAAAAGCGCAUGUGCUGUGAGCUCGAUGAGUAGGGCGGGACACGUGGUAUCCUGUCUGAAUAUGGGGGGACCAUCCUCCAAGGCUAAAUACUCCUGACUGACCGAUAGUGAACCAGUACCGUGAGGGAAAGGCGAAAAGAACCCCGGCGAGGGGAGUGAAAAAGAACCUGAAACCGUGUACGUACAAGCAGUGGGAGCACCUUCGGGUGUGACUGCGUACCUUUUGUAUAAUGGGUCAGCGACUUAUAUUCUGUAGCAAGGUUAACCGUAUAGGGGAGCCGGAGGGAAACCGAGUCUUAACCGGGCGUUAAGUUGCAGGGUAUAGACCCGAAACCCGGUGAUCUAGCCAUGGGCAGGUUGAAGGUUGGGUAACACUAACUGGAGGACCGAACCGACUAAUGUUGAAAAAUUAGCGGAUGACCUGUGGCUGGGGGUGAAAGGCCAAUCAAACCGGGAGAUAGCUGGUUCUCCCCGAAAGCUAUUUAGGUAGCGCCUCGUGAAUUCAUCUCCGGGGGUAGAGCACUGUUUCGGCUAGGGGGCCAUCCCGGCUUACCAACCCGAUGCAAACUGCGAAUACCGGAGAAUGUUAUCACGGGAGACACACGGCGGGUGCUAACGUCCGUCGUGAAGAGGGAAACAACCCAGACCGCCAGCUAAGGUCCCAAAGUCAUGGUUAAGUGGGAAACGAUGUGGGAAGGCCCAGACAGCCAGGAUGUUGGCUUAGAAGCAGCCAUCAUUUAAAGAAAGCGUAAUAGCUCACUGGUCGAGUCGGCCUGCGCGGAAGAUGUAACGGGGCUAAACCAUGCACCGAAGCUGCGGCAGCGACACUAUGUGUUGUUGGGUAGGGGAGCGUUCUGUAAGCCUGUGAAGGUGGCCUGUGAGGGUUGCUGGAGGUAUCAGAAGUGCGAAUGCUGACAUAAGUAACGAUAAAGCGGGUGAAAAGCCCGCUCGCCGGAAGACCAAGGGUUCCUGUCCAACGUUAAUCGGGGCAGGGUGAGUCGACCCCUAAGGCGAGGCCGAAAGGCGUAGUCGAUGGGAAACGGGUUAAUAUUCCCGUACUUGGUGUUACUGCGAAGGGGGGACGGAGAAGGCUAUGUUGGCCGGGCGACGGUUGUCCCGGUUUAAGCGUGUAGGCUGGUUUUCCAGGCAAAUCCGGAAAAUCAAGGCUGAGGCGUGAUGACGAGGCACUACGGUGCUGAAGCAACAAAUGCCCUGCUUCCAGGAAAAGCCUCUAAGCAUCAGGUAACAUCAAAUCGUACCCCAAACCGACACAGGUGGUCAGGUAGAGAAUACCAAGGCGCUUGAGAGAACUCGGGUGAAGGAACUAGGCAAAAUGGUGCCGUAACUUCGGGAGAAGGCACGCUGACACGUAGGUGAAGUGAUUUACUCAUGGAGCUGAAGUCAGUCGAAGAUACCAGCUGGCUGCAACUGUUUAUUAAAAACACAGCACUGUGCAAACACGAAAGUGGACGUAUACGGUGUGACGCCUGCCCGGUGCCGGAAGGUUAAUUGAUGGGGUCAGCGCAAGCGAAGCUCCUGAUCGAAGCCCCGGUAAACGGCGGCCGUAACUAUAACGGUCCUAAGGUAGCGAAAUUCCUUGUCGGGUAAGUUCCGACCUGCACGAAUGGCGUAAUGAUGGCCAGGCUGUCUCCACCCGAGACUCAGUGAAAUUGAACUCGCUGUGAAGAUGCAGUGUACCCGCGGCAAGACGGAAAGACCCCGUGAACCUUUACUAUAGCUUGACACUGAACAUUGAGCCUUGAUGUGUAGGAUAGGUGGGAGGCUUUGAAGCGUGGACGCCAGUCUGCGUGGAGCCGACCUUGAAAUACCACCCUUUAAUGUUUGAUGUUCUAACGUGGACCCGUUACCCGGGUUGCGGACAGUGUCUGGUGGGUAGUUUGACUGGGGCGGUCUCCUCCUAAAGAGUAACGGAGGAGCACGAAGGUUGGCUAAUCCUGGUCGGACAUCAGGAGGUUAGUGCAAUGGCAUAAGCCAGCUUGACUGCGAGCGUGACGGCGCGAGCAGGUGCGAAAGCAGGUCAUAGUGAUCCGGUGGUUCUGAAUGGAAGGGCCAUCGCUCAACGGAUAAAAGGUACUCCGGGGAUAACAGGCUGAUACCGCCCAAGAGUUCAUAUCGACGGCGGUGUUUGGCACCUCGAUGUCGGCUCAUCACAUCCUGGGGCUGAAGUAGGUCCCAAGGGUAUGGCUGUUCGCCAUUUAAAGUGGUACGCGAGCUGGGUUUAGAACGUCGUGAGACAGUUCGGUCCCUAUCUGCCGUGGGCGCUGGAGAACUGAGGGGGGCUGCUCCUAGUACGAGAGGACCGGAGUGGACGCAUCACUGGUGUUCGGGUUGUCAUGCCAAUGGCACUGCCCGGUAGCUAAAUGCGGAAGAGAUAAGUGCUGAAAGCAUCUAAGCACGAAACUUGCCCCGAGAUGAGUUCUCCCUGAGACUUAGAGUCUCCUGAAGGAACGUUGAAGACGACGACGUUGAUAGGCCGGGUGUGUAAGCGCAGCGAUGCGUUGAGCUAACCGGUACUAAUGAACCGUGAGGCUUAACCUUACAACGCCGAAG
rnacentral:rRNA from 1 species